rnacentral:rRNA from 1 species
UGGGCGUAAAGAGCUCGUAGGCGGUUUGUCGCGUCUGCUGUGAAAACCCGAGGCUCAACCUCGGGCCUGCAGUGGGUACGGGCAGACUAGAGUGCGGUAGGGGAGAAUGGAAUUCCUGGUGUAGCGGUGGAAUGCGCAGAUAUCAGGAGGAACACCGAUGGCGAAGGCAGUUCUCUGGGCCGUUACUGACGCUGAGGAGCGAAAGCGUGGGGAGCGAACAGGAUUAGAUACCCUGGUAGUCCACGCCGUAAACGUUGGGAACUAGAUGUGGGGACCUUUCCACGGUCUCCGUGUCGCAGCUAACGCAUUAAGUUCCCCGCCUGGGGAGUACGGCCGCAAGGCUAAAACUCAAAGGAAUUGACGGGGGCCCGCACAAGCGGCGGAGCAUGCGGAUUAAUUCGAUGCAACGCGAAGAACCUUACCAAGGCUUGACAUAUACCGGAAACUUUCAGAAAUGGUUGCCCCGCAAGGUCGGUAUACAGGUGGUGCAUGGUUGUCGUCAGCUCGUGUCGUGAGAUGUUGGGUUAAGUCCCGCAACGAGCGCAACCCUCGUUCUAUGUUGCCAGCACGUCAUGGUGGGAACUCAUAGGAGACUGCCGGGGUCAACUCGGAGGAAGGUGGGGAUGACGUCAAAUCAUCAUGCCCCUUAUGUCUUGGGCUUCACGCAUGCUACAAUGGCCGGUACAAAGGGCUGCGAUACCGUAAGGUGGAGCGAAUCCCAAAAAGCCGGUCUCAGUUCGGAUUGAGGUCUGCAACUCGACCUCAUGAAGUCGGAGUCGCUAGUAAUC